UCAAAGAUUAAGCCAUGCAUGUCUAAGUACAUGCCUUUACAAGGCGAAACCGCGAAUGGCUCAUUAAAUCAGUUAUGGUUCCUUGGAUCGUACCUUACUACUUGGAUAACUGUGGUAAUUCUAGAGCUAAUACAUGCAGCAGAGCUCCGACCCUCGGGAACGAGCGCUUUUAUUAGACCAAAACCGAUCGGACCUCGUGUCCGUUUCUUGUGGUGACUCUGAAUAACUUUGGGCUGAUCGCACGGGCCCGUCCCGGCGACGUAUCUUUCAAGUGUCUGCCUUAUCAACUUUCGAUGGUAGGUUACGCGCCUACCAUGGUCGUAACGGGUGACGGGGAAUCAGGGUUCGAUUCCGGAGAGGGAGCCUGAGAAACGGCUACCACAUCCAAGGAAGGCAGCAGGCGCGCAAAUUACCCACUCCCAGAUCGGGGAGGUAGUGACGAAAAAUAACAAUACGGGACUCUUAUGAGACCCCGUAAUUGGAAUGAGUACACUCUAAAACCUUUAACGAGGAUCCAUUCGAGGGCAAGUCUGGUGCCAGCAGCCGCGGUAACCCCAGCUCGAAUAGCGUAUAUUAAAGUUGUUGCGGUUAAAAAGCUCGUAGUUGGAUCUCAGUUCCAGACGGGUGGUCCGCCUACCGGUGGUCACUGCCUGUUCUGAACAGCCAGCCGGUUUCUCUUGAUGAUCUUCACCGGUUGUCUUGGGUGACCGGCAAGUUUACUUUGAAAAAAUUAGAGUGCUCAAAGCAGGCGUGACGCCUGAAUAAUGGUGCAUGGAAUAAUGGAAUAGGACCUCGGUUCUAUUUUGUUGGUUUUCUGAACACGAGGUAAUGAUUAAGAGGGACAGACGGGGGCAUUCGUAUUGCGACGCUAGAGGUGAAAUUUCCAAGAAUGUUUCCAUUAAUCAAGAACGAAAGUUAGAGGUUCGAAGGCGAUCAGAUACCGCCCUAGUUCUAACCAUAAACGAUGCCAGCUAGCGAUCCGGCUGUGUUCCUCAAAUGACACGCCGGGCAGCUUCCGGGAAACCAAAGCCUUUGGGUUCCGGGGGGAGUAUGGUUGCAAAGCUGAAACUUAAAGGAAUAGACGGAAGGGCACCACCAGGAAUGGAGCCUGCGGCUUAAUUUGACUCAACACGGGAAAACUUACCCGGCCCGGACACAGGAAGGAUUGACAGAUUAAGAGCUCUUUCUUGAUUCUGUGGGUGGUGGUGCAUGGCCGCUCUUAGUUCGUGGAGCGAUUUGUCUGGUUAAUUCCGAUAACGAACGAGACUCUAGCCUAUUAAAUAGGCGUUCCGAUCUCUCAUGUCGGACGUUCUUCUUAGAGGGAUAAACGGCGUUUAGCCGCACGAGACAGAGCAAUAGCAGGUCUGUGAUGCCCUUAGAUGUCCGGGGCCGCACGCGCGCUACAUUGAAGGAAUCAGCGUGUGCUCUCCCUGUCCGACAGGACUGGGUAACCCGUUGAAACUCCUUCGUGCUGGGGAUAGGARYCUGUAACUAUUUUCCUUGAACGAGGAAUUCCCAGUAAGCACAAGUCAUCAGCUUGUGUUGACUACGUCCCUGGCCUUUGUACUCACCGCCCGUCGCUAUUACCGAUAGAGCGAUUUAGUGAGGUCUUCGGACUGGCGCUCGGAGCGGCCUUCGGGUCACGCGCCGCGGUGCCGGAAAGAUGACCGAACUUGACCGCUUAGA
rnacentral:rRNA from 1 species